rnacentral:rRNA from 1 species
AGGACGAACGCUGGCGGCGUGCUUAACACAUGCAAGUCGAGCGGAAAGGCCCUUCGGGGUACUCGAGCGGCGAACGGGUGAGUAACACGUGAGUAAUCUGCCCCUAGCUCUGGGAUAGCUCCGGGAAACCGGGAUUAAUACCGGAUACGACCACCUUAGACAUCUUUUGUGGUGGAAAGAAUUUCGGCUAGGGAUGAGCUCGCGGCCUAUCAGCUAGUUGGUGAGGUAACGGCCCACCAAGGCUUUGACGGGUAGCUGGUCUGAGAGGACGACCAGCCACACUGGGACUGAGACACGGCCCAGACACCUACGGGUGGCAGCAGUCGAGAAUUUUUCUCAAUGGGGGAAACCCUGAAGGAGCGACGCCGCGUGGAGGAUGAAGGUCUUCGGAUUGUAAACUCCUGUCAUUGGGGAACAAGUCGCUUACGUUAACUGCGUGAGCGUUGAUAGUACCCGAAGAGGAAGAGACGGCUAACUCUGCGCCAGCAGCCGCGGU